rnacentral:lncRNA from 1 species
CUCAUGGAGGCAUGUUUCCCCAACGACAUGCCAUCUCCAGUUCUCCACCAGCCAUGUAUCUUGUGUGGAACGGCGUCUGGUCGAGGGCGAGAUCUACACCAUCACCGGCCUCACCGUCGAUGAUCCCACUGGACCCUGGCACCAAAGGCGACGGAGGCCUCCUCCCUGCACUCGACGGCCUCAUCCCAGAGUAAAUGGUGCCUUCCUUCAUCACGAUAUGGCGGCGCAGCAUCACAGAUGGGCUCCUUUCCGACCUCCUCCAUUGUGGAUCUGGUGCUUGCAGUUGCAGGUUCUCCGUUCUCCUCUCUCGUGGAUUGAUGCUUGCAGGGUGAGGUGGAGGUUGAUUCGUUGGCAGGAUACUCUCAGACGUAUAUAGUAUGUACACAUUCUACAUAUGUUUGCAUGAAGUAUUUGUUCAUACUC